CACCCUUAGAGGUGGAUCACUCGGCUCCUGCAUUGGUGAAGAAUGCAGCUAGCUGAGAGAAUAAAUGUGAAUUGCAGGACAUUGAUCCUCCACACUUGGAACUAACUUGCUGCCCAGAGUUCCUCCAUGGGCUAUGCCUGUCUGAGCAUAG
ensembl:rRNA 5_8S_rRNA 5.8S ribosomal RNA